GACGAACGCUGGCGGCGUGCCUAAUACAUGCAAGUCGAGCGAAUCGAUGGGAGCUUGCUCCCUGAGAUUAGCGGCGGACGGGUGAGUAACACGUGGGUAACCUGCCUGUAAGACUGGGAUAACUUCGGGAAACCGGAGCUAAUACCGGAUACUUUCUUUUCUCGCAUGAGGGAAGAUGGAAAGAUGGUUCUGCUAUCACUUACAGAUGGACCCGCGGCGCAUUAGCUAGUUGGUGAGGUAACGGCUCACCAAGGCAACGAUGCGUAGCCGAACGGAGAGGGUGAUCGGCCACACUGGGACCGAGACACGGCCCAGACUCCUACGGGAGGCAGCAGUAGGGAAUCUUCCGCAAUGGACGAAAGUCUGACGGAGCAACGCCGCGUGAGCGAAGAAGGCCUUCGGGUCGUAAAGCUCUGUUGUUAGGGAAGAACAAGUACGAGAGUAACUGCUCGUACCUUGACGGUACCUAACCAGAAAGCCACGGCUAACUACGUGCCAGCAGCCGCGGUAAUAC
rnacentral:rRNA from 1 species